GGCUCCGGGGCCCACUUCGCGCCGGGCUGCAGCCCCUAAAGCGCGUGGGAUCCGGCCCUGCCGGGCAGGGGGGAGGCAGCUCUGAGAAUCGCGGCCAAGGGGAGCCGCGGGGGGCGCUGCCUGCGGGGCACGCACAGGGCCGCGCAGCGCCUCCUGCACUCCCCACACCGAACGGGAGCUGCCCCAACGUCCCACAGGAGAUCAAAGUCGGACCAGAUGUAGUGUUCACAGCACUGAAAACUAUUAGAGGGUUAUCCAGGCUGUCUCUCUCUCACACACUCAUCUAAAAAUGCAGUGCACUUUAACAAUUUAAAACGUUGGCUCCCAAGCACAUCCUCAAAGAGAUUUCCUUGCAGUGUCUGCCAGCCUACCCACACUUAGCUAUGAAAAGAGAUGAAUUAAACAUACCCACAAACUUUUAAAUACUUACUGAGAAGAGGCGAAAGAAAUUCCUUCCUGUAUUGUGCUUGGUUCAAGAAAAAACUAAUACAGAAUUCUUUUGUUCUUAACCUUGUCACCAGCUCCACCUACAAUACAUGACAGAAAACAGGAGAAAUGAAAGUUACUCAAAAGCUUACCAUUUGGUGGCAGCACUGUGAAUUGAUUUUGCAAUGCAAUACAUUUUCUUUCUUUUA